GAUGGACGCUGGCGGCGUGCCUAAUACAUGCAAGUCGAGCGAACGGACGAGAAGCUUGCUUCUCUGAUGUUAGCGGCGGACGGGUGAGUAACACGUGGAUAACCUACCUAUAAGACUGGGAUAACUUCGGGAAACCGUAGCUAAUACCGGAUAAUAUUUUGUACCGCAUGGUUCAAAAGUGAAAGACGGUCUUGCUGUCACUUAUAGAUGGAUCCGCGCUGCAUUAGCUAGUUGGUAAGGUAACGGCUUACCAAGGCAACGAUGCAUAGCCGACCUGAGAGGGUGAUCGGCCACACUGGAACUGAGACACGGUCCAGACUCCUACGGGAGGCAGCAGUAGGGAAUCUUCCGCAAUGGGCGAAAGCCUGACGGAGCAACGCCGCGUGAGUGAUGAAGGUCUUCGGAUCGUAAAACUCUGUUAUUAGGGAAGAACAUAUGUGUAAGUAACUGUGCACAUCUUGACGGUACCUAAUCAGAAAGCCACGGCUAACUACGUG
rnacentral:rRNA from 1 species